ACCAAUCCAACAAUAUGAAUCGCGCAUCAGAAGGAAAAACGGAUUUUCCUUAAGUGGCCCUGAUCAGACACCUCCCAUUGCCCCACAUAAACACAAACAAAUGACCAAGAUUAAAUGGAGAGAGGUAUUUAAACCUCUCUUUAGUCGGCCUCUCAAACCCUAGCCGACACAGCCGACUGGAGAAAAAGCAGCAAGGGACGUCAGAGAUAGUUCAGGUGGUAGAGCAAUAAUGACACCACUGUGCUGGAGGUCAAAACCAACACUGUCCAAGAAAGCUGCAAGCUGAGAGGGAGGAGGCAUGUGUCUGUGAUCGAAAGCCGAACCAGAUUUCAAUAAGUUUGUUCGCGUUCCUUCGCUUCAUUUUCCUUCUUUUAUGCACUAACGGAGUGAUUCUCGUUCAUGUUAAACCAAAAAAAAAAAGAAAAAAUAAAAGGAAAUAG